GCCUGGCUGGCUCAGUUGGUAGAGUGUGUGACUCUUGAUCUUGAGGUGGUGAGUUCAAACCCCACAUUGGGUG
rnacentral:tRNA from 1 species